rnacentral:tRNA from 1 species
CAAAAAUUAGUUUAUUAUUUAAAACGUUAAACUUGGAUUUUAAUAAAAAGAUAUAUAUCUUAUUUUUGA